AGAGUUGAGAAAUGGGUAUAGUUCCAUGGCUGUUCAAGAUGCGUUUGUUGUUGGGGUUGCUGGUGGUCAUGGCAACAGUAGUGAGUUUUGGAGGAUUUGCUGACGAGGCAGAUGAAAGCUAAGAGAAAAGAGAUGAAAAAGAAAACUAGCGGUGAUGGCAAGGACAGAUCAUUGGAGGAUGGAGUUCAUUUUUAGAAGAAAAUGAGAGGUUCUAGACAGAGAAGGGAAAAUUAGAAAGCCGCCAUUA
rnacentral:misc_RNA from 1 species